UACAGGGGGGGCAAGCGUUGUUCGGAAUUACUGGGCGUAAAGGGCCAGUAGGCGGCCAACUAAGUCCGACGUGAAAUCCCCAGGCUUAACCGGGGAACUGCGUCUGAUACUGGAUGGCUUGAAUCCGGGAGAGGGAUGCGGAAUUCCAGGUGUAGCGGUGAAAUGCGUAGAUAUCUGGAGGAACACCGGUGGCGAAGGCGACAUCCUGGACCGGUAUUGACGCUGAGUGAGCGAAAGCCAGGGGAGCAAACGGG
rnacentral:rRNA from 1 species